AGGCAAUAACAGGUCUGUGAUGC
rnacentral:siRNA from 1 species